AACGAACGCUGGCGGCAGGCCUAACACAUGCGAGUCGAGCGCGCCCUUCGGGGUGAGCGGCGGACGGGUGAGUAACGCGUGGGAACGUGCCCUUUUCUACGGAAUAGCCUCGGGAAACUGAGAGUAAUACCGUAUACGCCCUUUGGGGGAAAGAUUUAUCGGAAAAGGAUCGGCCCGCGUUGGAUUAGGUAGUUGGUGGGGUAAUGGCCUACCAAGCCGACGAUCCAUAGCUGGUUUGAGAGGAUGAUCAGCCACACUGGGACUGAGACACGGCCCAGACUCCUACGGGAGGCAGCAGUGGGGAAUCUUAGACAAUGGGGGCAACCCUGAUCUAGCCAUGCCGCGUGAGUGAUGAAGGCCUUAGGGUUGUAAAGCUCUUUCAGCUGGGAAGAUAAUGACGGUACCAGCAGAAGAAGCCCCGGCUAACUCCGU
rnacentral:rRNA from 1 species